UGGCGCUUUAUUUUAACUUCAUUCUGAUAUCGAUAUACUUCCGUUUUCAGAAUGAUUUGUGUUCGUUCCCCGUGAAAAAUUGAACACAAUGUACAUAACCCUUGCAUUUUUCAAGGAGGAAACAGGUUUCACGGGGGACCACAAAUCACGGUGACACCGGCAGUGAACUGAUCACCUGCCAAUGUCAAUACUAAUGAGUGGCUAAUAUAUUUUAUUUAACCUUCUCAUGAUUCAUCGAUAUACGCAAAGGUUUGCAGCAAUUCGAACUAGUGCAAUAUAUUUCUCGACCUCUGCAAAGCUUACAAAAAUGUCAAAAGGACCAAGUAAACUUGACGAAGCUGAAAGGGAAAAAUCUUUGAAACCUUUGUUGGAAAAAGGGUGGAAAAUGUGCAGCGAAAAAGAUGGAAUCGAAAAGCAGUUUGUGUUCAAAAAUUUUAAUCGAGCAUUUGGUUUCAUGACACGUGUUGCACUGCAAGCUGAAAAAAUGGACCAUCAUCCAGAGUGGUUUAACGUGUACAAUAAAGUUCACAUCACUUAUUCAACUCAUUCUUGUAAUGGUCUUUCUUCAAAUGAUAUAAAGUUGGCAACAUUUACAGAUGCAAUAUCAUCAUCGAUGUAAACUGUAGUUUCGUAUUCAUUUUGAAAUAAACAAAAUUGUCAAACA